UACGGAGGGUGCGAGCGUUGUCCGGAAUCAUUGGGCGUAAAGGGCGCGUAGGUGGCCCGGUCAGUCUUUGGUGAAAGCGCGGGGCUCAACCCUGCGUCGGCCAGGGAUACUGCCGCGGCUCGAGCACUGUAGAGGCAGGCGGAAUUCCUGGUGUAGCGGUGAAAUGCGUAGAGAUCAGGAAGAACACCGGUGGCGAAGGCGCUCUGCUAGGCCGUAACUGACACUGAGGGACGAAAGCUAGGGGAGCGAAUGGG
rnacentral:rRNA from 1 species